rnacentral:rRNA from 1 species
GCACGAGCCGGAAAUGGAAAAGCCGGUACAAGCGUAUAGCAGUCAUGCAGGCAAAACCGCAUGAAAAAUGUAAAGCGUUAUGUGGAUCGAACAUUAGUAGAGAAGCGUGUGAGCCAGCUGCCAAGAAAAGCCGCUAUUGUUUCAUAAGUACCCGUACCGUAAACCGACACAGGUGGAUGAGGAGAGAAUCCUAAGGCCGGCGGGAGAAGUGUUGUUAAGGAACUCGGCAAAAUGACUCCGAAACUUCGGGAGAAGGAGUGCCACAGAGAUGUGGCCGCAGAGAAAUGGCCCAAGCAACUGUUUAGCAAAAACACAGGUCUAUGCAAAACCGAAAGGUGAGGUAUAUGGGCUGACGCCUGCCCGGUGCUGGAAGGUUAAGAGGAGAGGUUAGAGCAAUCGAAGCUUUGAAUUUAAGCCCCAGUAAACGGCGGCCGUAACUAUAACGGUCCUAAGGUAGCGAAAUUCCUUGUCGGGUAAGUUCCGACCCGCACGAAAGGCGUAAUGAUUUGGGCACUGUCUCAACAACACACCCGGUGAAAUUGAAAUACCAGUGAAGAUGCUGGUUACCUGCGCCAGGACGGAAAGACCCCAUGGAGCUUUACUCCAGUUUGAUACUGGGAUUCGGUACUGUCUGUACAGGAUAGGUGGGAGGCUAGGAAAUGGUGACGCCAGUUGCCAUGGAGCCAACCUUGGGAUACCACCCUUACAGUACUGGGUUUCUAACCUGCAGCCGUAACCCGGCUGGGGGACAAUGUCUGACGGGGUGUUUGACUGGGGCGGUCGCCUCCGAAAGAGUAUCGGAGGCGCUCAAAGGUUCCCUCAGAACGGUUGGAAACCGUUCGAAGAGUGCAAAGGCAGAAGGGAGCUUGACUGCGACACCGACGGGUGGAGCAGAUACGAAAGUAGGACUUAGUGAUCCGGUGGUAUAAAGUGGGAUUGCCAUCGCUCAACGGAUAAAAGCUACCCUGGGAUAACAGGCUUAUCACUCCCAAGAGUUCACAUCGACGGAGUGGUUUGGCACCUCGAUGUCGGCUCAUCGCAUCCUGGAGCUGUAGCAGGUUCCAAGGGUUGGGCUGUUCGCCCAUUAAAGCGGUACGCGAGCUGGGUUCAGAACGUCGUGAGACAGUUCGGUCCCUAUCCGGCGUGGGCGUAGGAUAUUUGAGAGGAGCUGUCCUUAGUACGAGAGGACCGGGAUGGACAAGCCUCUGGUGUAUCUGUUGUUUUACCAAAGGCAUGGCAGAGUAGCCAAGUUUGGCAGGGAUAAACGCUGAAGGCAUCUAAGCGUGAAGCCCCCCUCAAGAUAAGAUAUCCCAUCUUCGGAGUAAGACCCCUUGAAGACUACAAGGUUGAUAGGCUUCAGGUGUAAGUGUGGUAACGCACUCAGCUGAGAAGUACUAAUAGGUCGAGGACUUAU